GACGAACGCUGGCGGCGUGCUUAACACAUGCAAGUCGAACGGAAAGGCCCUGCUUUUGUGGGGUGCUCGAGUGGCGAACGGGUGAGUAACACGUGAAUAACCUGCCCUUGACUUUGGGAUAACUUCAGGAAACUGGGGCUAAUACCGGAUAGGAGCUCCUGCUGCAUGGUGGGGGUUGGAAAGUUUCGGCGGUUGGGGAUGGACUCGCGGCUGAUCAGCUUGUUGGUGGGGUAGUGGCUUACCAAGGCUUUGACGGGUAGCCGGCCUGAGAGGGUGACCGGCCACAUUGGGACUGAGAUACGGCCCAGACUCCUACGGGAGGCAGCAGUGGGGAAUAUUGCACAAUGGGCGGAAGCCGGAUGCAGCAACGCCGCGUUCGGGAUGACGGCCUUCGGGUUGUAAACCGCUUUCGCCUGUGACGAAGCGUGAGUGACGGUAAUGGGUAAAGAAGCACCGGCUAACUACGUG
rnacentral:rRNA from 1 species